AGCAGCUUCUAUUUUUGGCCAAAGCCAAAGGGAGUGACUGUACUGAGAUGUCGGGCCCUGUGGGCAGGAGGAGGGUAGGCGGGGACAGCCUCUGCCCCUCCAGCUCCCUCUGAGGCAGAAAGCAGGGAGGAGGCAUCGCACCCCAGGGUCCGGCACCAGCUGCCCAAACCCUCAUCCCCAAGUGGGCGCAGGGGAGGCGGCAAGGCAUUCUGGCUCGGGGUUUGGACUGCGUCCCAUGCUUGCUGGAACCACCAGAAGCACCGGGGUUGGCCCAGGACCUCGCGGGCGCCAAGCACGUGCUCUGCCACGAGGCGUGAUCUUUUAUUUUCCAUCCUGUGGAGUCGAUGCCUCACUUGCAGGUGAUGCCCUUAAAGCCCAGAAAGGUGAUCUGUCCAAGGCUCGGGAUCCCUGGUCUAUGGUGUGCUUCCUGCUCGGACGUCUGACAGCCCGGCACCCACCACGGAAGACAGCAACGUUCCCUGGACCUCCACCCAGCCUCCCUGCCGAGCUGUCCGCCCUCUUCUCCUGUCUCAGCCAUCGGCUCCGAAGGAGCUGGUGUUCCCAGUGUUCUCUGAGCCUGUCACGGCCCAGAGGGCCUCACCUGGCCUCCUUGGACCCACCCUGGAGUCAUGGGUGGACUUCCGGGAGACCCGGUGCCCCACAAGGAUGCUUCUGGAACUUGUAUUGUGUGCUUAUGUGAGUCUGUCUGGGGUAAGAAUCCAAAGUUUUCAUCAGCUCCUCAAAGAAGUCAGUGGUGUCCCCGACCCCCCCAAAAGCUUCCAAGUUAAUUUCAUAGCCUUCUCCCUCCCCCAAACGUCCCCUCCACUCCUCCUGACCUGCGUAAUGCUGUGCUUCAUAACUCCUCUCCAGGGCUUAACACAAAGCCAACCACUGACACUGGGACUUCACAGCGCUCCCUUCCCACGACAGUAUAACUGUCCUCCUCUUUCCAAGUAUUCAUUCAAGCAGGGAGAAGCCAGAGGAUUCCCAGGGCGGCCUUCACAGAUGCAGCUGGUAUGUGAUAAGCUGGUCCCGCUGGCAGCACAGUCGUCUGCAAACCUAGUCAUCCCCGCAGGGCUGACUUAA